rnacentral:misc_RNA from 1 species
GAUGAAGAACGUAGCGAAAUGCGAUAAGUAAUGUGAAUUGCAGAAUUCAGUGAAUCAUCGAAUCUUUGAACGCACAUUGCGCCCUCUGGUAUUCCGGGGGGCAUGCCUGUUCGAGCGUCAUUACAACCCUCAAGCUUUGCUUGGUAUUGGACAUUGCCAGUUUCUGGCAGGUCUUAAAAUCAGUGGCGGUGCCAUUUGGCUUCAAGCGUAGUAAUUCUUCUCGCUUUGGAGAUCCAAGUGGUUACUUGCCAAUAACCCCCAAUUUUUUCAGGUUGACCUCGGAUCAGGUAGGGAUACCCGCUGAACUUAAGCAAAUCAAUAAGCGGAGGA